rnacentral:misc_RNA from 1 species
UUCACUGCCGAAGCUCAGCCC